AUUGAACGCUAGCGGGAUGCCUUCCACAUGCAAGUCGAACGGAAUGGCGCACGGGUGAGUAAUGUAUCUGAAAGUGCCCAGUAGCGGGGGAUAACUACGCGAAAGCGUAGCUCAUACCGCAUACUAUUGGCGCAGACUAUAUCGGAUUACCUAGUGGGUGGGGUAACGGCUCACCAAGGCGACGAUCCGUAGCUGGUUUUAGAGGACGACCAACCACACUGGGAGUGAGACACGGCUCAGACUCCUACGGGAGGAAGCAGUGGGGAAUAGUGGACAAUGGGGGAAACCCUGAUCCAGCCAUCCCGCGUGUACGACGAAGGCCUUCGGGUUGUAAAGCACUUUUGGCAGGAAAGCGGUACCUGCAGAAUAAGCACCGGCUAACUACGUGCCAGCAGCCGCGGUAAUUC
rnacentral:rRNA from 1 species